rnacentral:rRNA from 16 species
AUGAGGGGGGAAUUCAUGUAAUUCUACUGAUUUCAAUUAAACUUCGAAUACAUAUUUUAUGAAAUUUUUAGUAAGCAGAUUUAGAGUGCUAAGAUUCUAAAUCGAAAGGGAAAAAGCCCUGAUUUUCAGUUAAGGUUUUUAAAUAUAAUUCAUGGACUAAGUUUGAAUCUGUAAGGAGAGCCAAGAGGUAGGCUUAGAAUCAGCCAUCCUUUAAAGAAAGCGUCAUUGCUCAAUGGAAUAGCAUGAUUUAGACAGAAAUGUAAAGAAACUGUAGUUAUAUACCGAAACUAAAAAAUAAAAGGUAUUAUUAAAGAAGAGUUUUUAAUAAUAUUAUGUUGGUAGCAGAACGGGAAAUAGUAAAAUUAUGAAGAAAAAUCGUUAGAUUUUUUAUAGAAUUUUUUUUGAGAAUGUUGACAUGAGUAACGAAUUAAUAAUGAAACUUUGUAAAAAUAUCAUUAUCGCCGAAAAUUCAAGGUUUUCAAUGUAUAAAGGUUAACUUCAUUGAGUAAUACGGUCUCUAAGUUAAAAAUUGAAAAAUUUUGAUGAUGAGUGAUUUUGUUAAUAUUCAGAUUAUUAGUUAAGUGAAGAUUUUCAUGGCGUUGUUGUUUGAUUUAAAUGGCUUAUUAAACGAAAUAACCAUAUUAUCCAAGAAAUAUCUGACUAAAUGUAACCGUACUUAAACCGACACAGGUGAAUAGGUAGAGAAUACUAAGGCGAUUGGAAGAACAAUUUUGAAGGAACUCGGCAAAAUGAUUCCGUAACUUCGGGAGAAGGGAUACUCACAUUAAAAGUUUAUUUUGCUAAAAAAUUUAAAAUGUGAAUGUUUAGUGUAACAGAAUAGGGGGUAGCGACUGUUUAAUAAAAAC